GGGCUCAUGGCUUAGCCUGGAUAUAGCGUCGGGCUUCUAACCCGAAUGCCGGGGGUUCGAAUCCUCCUGGGCCCG
rnacentral:tRNA from 1 species